CGGGGCCUCGGAGGCUGCCGGUCUGGCAGCUGAGGCCCCGAUACACAGGGGAAAGGGGCAGGUUCAGGCCGCCCCAAACGGGCGGUCUGUAACCCACCUAUGUUUCCUAUCCUGUUCAGCUGUUGAAGCUGAGAACAUUGUGGUUUCAGCGUUGGGCUAGGACUCCGGGAGAACAGCGUUCGAAUCGCCACUCAGUCACGGAAACCCGCUGCAUUAGUCCCACUCUCUCAGCUUCAGAGGAAGGCAAUGGUGCACCCCAUCUGAAGAAAUCUUGCCAAGAAUACCCUAGGAAGGAGGUCACCACAAGUCAACGUCAACUUGAAGGCGCAUAGCGACAGUAACAAUAAACAGAAAGAACCUCCUGGACCAUUUCUUUUACAGAUUCCCCCUUCCGUUUAUCAGCUUUUCGAAGAGCGAUGGUUUACGCUCCCUGCAACGAAAGGUCGGUAAGCAAGGUGGGCAUUCCGCCACCACAAAAAUCACGUAAGCGAUGAAAACCUAAGAAAAGGGUGGGGAAUUAAAGUGUCCUAGAAAAUUUGGGGUAGAUGACUGGGUCAAAACUGGCCGUUCUUCCCUUGAAAUCCAUGACUCUUUCUGAAGCGUACCCAAGAGAAUUUCUGUUACAGUGGAACGCCAGACCUCCCUAGGAGAAGGUCACCAAAUGUCAACGUCAACUUGAAAGCAGGUAGUAGCAAUAACAAUAAACUGAAGAGCCUCCUGGACCAUUCCUUCUAGAGAUGCCCCUUCUGUAUAUCAGCUUUUCUAAGAGUGGUGGUUUAUCCUCCCUGCAGCAAAAGCAACAUGGCGCUAAGAAAAAGUUGGGGAAUUAAAGUAUCCAAGAAAAUUUGGGGUAAAUGAGUGAGUCAAGACUGGCUCUUCUGCCCUUGAAAUCCACAUCUCUUUCUUAAGCGCACUCAAGAGAUGUGGAACGCUAGACCUUCAGGAAGGACCUUUUUGGAGACAGAUGGCUUCCGGAUUGAACUCUUGGGCUUCCCAACUCUCCCGCCACUGCAGAGAAAGAAGCAUUUAUUUCGAGGCCUGGAGAGCAAAACUCUGAAAGGCAUCGUUUAAAAAUCCAGCCCAUUUCGAGUCUCUCCCAACGACAACGUUCCCCGCGAUAUAUCUUAAUUUGAUUGUCAGCCGUAAAAGUUGAGCUUCAGCACCAGCAAGGAGGCCAAGUUCUCCCCUCCCGAGAUGCAGAUGGAUCUGUGUGUGUGUGCGUGUCUCCCCUUUUCUGUUUGCUGUUCCAUAUCCUUUGGCUGUUAAGGUGUCACUUUCACCGUACAGUUAAUAAAUUGGGCCUUUUUCUUCUUUU